rnacentral:lncRNA from 1 species
GGGGGCCGCAGUUUGUGAGGGGUCACUCGGGACUGAGCGACCUUCGCCCCGGGGGUCGUGUGGCCCCCAGGGCUGCGGGGGGCGCCCCGACACGUCCCCCUCCACACUCGUCAGGGCUGAGAGGCAAGACCCCCAGGUUCUCUCUGGACGCUGGAGGGCGGGCGGGCAGAUGGCUCAGGAACGAGUAGGCCGGACAUGACCACCGGCUCCCCCGUGAGGCCGGAGGUCACGCUAGCAGGUCCAGUUCCCGAGAACCCCGAGGGCUUGUGCAGGGCCAGCCACCCGCUGCUGGGCCCUGGGAACCUGCAUGUGGACCAGCGUGGCCCGUUUGCCCCGGGGACUCCGGGGCCAGAGAAGCACCGCAGCCCAACCUGGCGGCAGGUGUUUGGGGGCCUCACCCUCUCGGUCAUGGGCCAGGACUCCAGGGUACGUGUCCAGCCGGCCACCUCCGCUCUGUGAGGCUUUCUCUGCCCUCUGGCCCUGGCUCCCUCUUGGGAGACAGAAUCCGGGUUCAGGGUGUCCUUUCUCCAGGAAAGCCUGAUGCCCCAAGAAGGGCUGCAUGGGCUUUGAGACUCGGAAGAGAGGAACACGUCCCUCAGCUGUGGCCGGGGACCCUGGGGGCAGGCCCCGCCCGGGGCUCCUGCGGUGGGGACUCUGCGGCCCAGGCACGGAGGAGACGGGCAGGGCGAGCUGACCACCAGGCCGUGGGCAUUGGGCUUUGGGCCCCAUCAGCAUGUUCACAUGGGGACACCGUUUGGAAAAAUGUGCAGGACUGGGACUUUUUAACCGUCAGUGGUUAAGCUGGCUGUCCCUCCACCCACCGUGCACCCCGUCACCCUCCCCGUGGGCGGAGCCGGCGGGCACUCGGGGCCCAGCCAAGGGGGAAGUGGGGUUUGGUGGGAGAUACCCGCGGGGUUCACAGUCACGGACAGAUGAACGGGGACAGCAGUGGCCUGCGGGAGGACCCCUGCGGUCAGAGGUCACGUCUCGUGGGGACCGGAAGCACGCGGCAGCACAGCUGGCACCGCGGGGGCGGGGGUGGCAGGGAGGCCCACGGCUCACAGACCUCCCAGGCCCUCCCGUGGCUGUGAAAGGCGAAGCCGCAGACACCGGCGUCGGGGGAAACCGGGAGAAAGCAGGGUGACUUCCUCGGUCAAGGACGUGGCCGAGGGCGCAGCCAGGAGAGGCUGCCGGUGCUGUCGGAUGAAGUGGUGGAAGCGCCUCGCGGAAUCUUGUGGUUAUUAGUGCAAUUCGCAUGCUUUGAAAAGUUUAGACGUUGUGACUU